UCCAAUCUGCUCACUGAAUAAUUAAAGAGCCGCAGUAUCUUGACUGUGCAAAGGUAGCAUAAUCAAUAGUUUAUUAAUUGAAAACUUGUAUGAAAGAUUAGACGAGAAAUUUAUUUUCUUUAUUUUAAAAAAUUAAAUUUUAAAUUUAAGUGAAAAUGCUUAAUUAAAUAUAAAAGACGUGAAGACCCUAUAGAUUUUUAUUAUUUACUUAAAUCUUAUAAGUUGGUUUAAUCUAAAUAAUUUCAUUGGGGUGAUUUUGUAAUACAUUAAACUUAAUUUCUUAAAACCAUAAAUAAUUGAAAUUUUUGAUCUAAAAUUUUUAAAGAAAAGAUUAAAUUACCUUAGGGAUAACAGCGUAAUUUUUUUUAAGAGUUCAUAUAUAUAAAAAAGCUUGCGACCUCGAUGUUGAAUUAAGAUAAUAUAUUGAAGUAG
rnacentral:rRNA from 1 species